rnacentral:rRNA from 1 species
AAAGACCUCAUGCUUUUGGAGCGGCCGAUGUCUGAUUAGCUAGUCGGUAAGGUAAUGGCUUACCAAGGCAACGAUCAGUAGUUGGUCUGAGAGGACGACCAGCCACACUGGGACUGAGACACGGCCCAGACUCCUACGGGAGGCAGCAGUGGGGAAUUUUGGACAAUGGGCGCAAGCCUGAUCCAGCAAUGCCGCGUGAGUGAAGAAGGCCUUCGGGUUGUAAAGCUCUUUCAGUUGAGAAGAAAAAAUUCUGGCUAAUAUCCAGAAUUCAUGACGGUAUCGACAGAAGAAGCACCGGCUAACUACGUGCCAGCAGCCGCGGUAAUACGUAGGGUGCAAGCGUUAAUCGGAAUUACUGGGCGUAAAGGGUGCGCAGGUGGUUUUGUAAGUCAGAUGUGAAAUCCCCGGGCUUAACCUGGGAAUU